rnacentral:rRNA from 1 species
AGAGUUUGAUCCUGGCUCAGAUUGAACGCUGGCGGCAGGCCUAACACAUGCAAGUCGAGCGGUAGAGAGGUGCUUGCAUCUCUUGAGAGCGGCGGACGGGUGAGUAAUGCCUAGGAAUCUGCCUAGUGGUGGGGGAUAACGUUCGGAAACGGACGCUAAUACCGCAUACGUCCUACGGGAGAAAGCGGGGGAUCUUCGGACCUCGCGCCAUUAGAUGAGCCUAGGUCGGAUUAGCUAGUUGGUGAGGUAAUGGCUCACCAAGGCGACGAUCCGUAACUGGUCUGAGAGGAUGAUCAGUCACACUGGAACUGAGACACGGUCCAGACUCCUACGGGAGGCAGCAGUGGGGAAUAUUGGACAAUGGGCGAAAGCCUGAUCCAGCCAUGCCGCGUGUGUGAAGAAGGUCUUCGGAUUGUAAAGCACUUUAAGUUGGGAGGAAGGGUAGUAACCUAAUACGUUGCUACUUUGACGUUACCGACAGAAUAAGCACCGGCUAACUUCGUGCCAGCAGCCGCGGUAAUACGAAGGGUGCAAGCGUUAAUCGGAAUUACUGGGCGUAAAGCGCGCGUAGGUGGUUCAGCAAGUUGGAUGUGAAAGCCCUGGGCUCAACCUGGGAACUGCAUCCAAAACUACUGAGCUAGAGUACGGUAGAGGGUAGUGGAAUUUCCUGUGUAGCGGUGAAAUGCGUAGAUAUAGGAAGGAACACCAGUGGCGAAGGCGACUACCUGGACUGAUACUGACACUGAGGUGCGAAAGCGUGGGGAGCAAACAGGAUUAGAUACCCUGGUAGUCCACGCCGU